AGAAUAAGAAAUGAAUAGAAGGGCAACUCACGUGUACAACGCGUCCUAGUUUUUUUGUGCGCAUGCGUCAGGUCCGCCAUUACUCUGGCCAGUAAACUGGCUGCUGGCGUACUAUAGAUUAUAUGGAGAAGAGUAGUGUUUGGGCUAUAAAUUCGCCUUUUUCGUUCAAGUUUUUCAAUGAUCGUGAAAGUUUUUGACAGAAGAUGAACGAAAUAAGGUGAGGCAUUGCAAUUUAUUAGGUAAAAGCAAUCUAAAGACGUUCUAUUAGCAAAUACUGACCGUUUUACUUGCUUGUUAAAAGUUGUAUAUUUGUAUAUUGAAUAAAAAUGUUUGGUAUAUUCUUGGGUAAAUUGGCACGGUACUCCUAUUUUAUCAGAUACUUAUGUUAGUUCAAAUCUUCAUAACAAUGUGCUUACAGUAAAAGCAUUGUUUCAUCCCAAUUUUCCGUAUUUAGCACAGUUGAGUAUUGUAUAAUGUCUGUUUCCAUAUCGGACAUAUUUUCACGUUAUUUUACCUGAUCUGGAUGUAUUUUCAUGUAUAUUUAUACAAAUACACAACUAUUACAAACACACAACUAAAAGAUUCCUUUUGUGUUUCUUUCACAAAUAACAAGUGUUGUCUUCUGUAAAAUAAGUGGUUUCUUGAAGUUUGAAAUUUUGUACAAAACAAACUGAUAGACUAUAGUAUAGUAUACAAAUGUGCUGCAGGUGAAUCAGAAACAUUGCUAACUAUGCCCAUAUCAUAGAAGCAUUUCAUCUAUUGUUUUUUAUUCAACCAGGUAUUAAACAGCAUCAGAAAAGUCAUAAAUUGUUGUUUUUUUAUGUUAUAAUUAUCAAGGAUAUAAUUAAAAUAUAGAAACUGAGUCACCAUACUUUUUGUUGUUAUGUACUCUGGUGAAUAUGAUGUUUGUGGUGUUACUCUGAGUAUGCAUCCACACUGGGCAAACUGAAAAGUUUGCCUGACCGCGGUCAGGCAUGGUGGGAAUCUAACCCACGACCUUUGGGUUAUCACUCCAAUGCUCUACCAACUGAGCUAUGAGGUCACCUAAGUAUAUAACACUAACACACACAAAAAGUAUCAUGUCUUAGAAUACAUUGAUGUCGAAGGAACCACACUCAGUUCCAAAAUAUCACCAACUCGAACUGACUUAACCUAGUAGUUCAGUUGGUUGAGCAUUGGACUGGUAUCCCAUUAAGGUCACAGGUUCGAUUCCCACCAUAGUCAGGCAAACUUUUUAGUUUGUCCCGGUGUGGAUGCACACGCAGAGUAACACCACAAACAUCAAGUUAUGACCAUGUUUACACUUCAUCCAUGCCUGACAAUCACUGACACAGGCAACACAUCAAUUUGCCUGAGUGUAUGGAAUGUACAAUUCCUCUGCACCGGACGGCAGUGAGUCUAGGCUCUAGGAAUUGUGUAUCGUUUUUGUGCCAAAAGAUUCGACAGCAAUAUAAGCUGUUGUGUAUGCAAGUCACUGAUUUGUGCACAAAACUGGACAGCCUUUUCUUUCCAUGCUGGGCAAUUUAGGCCUCAGCUAGCAUGACUAGGUCAAGCUGGCAAUGUGGCCCUUCUAUAACAUAGUAUUAUCCAUGUCAUAAUUUUUGUUUCAUUUAGUUUAAUUUCUGCCUUCUGGACGUGCUCAAGCCUUGGCAACAAGUACUCAAGUUUCACUCUCUUGAAGACCAAUUUGUCAAUGAUUGGAUCAUAUUGUGUUGUCUUUGUAAUAUAAUAUAUGUAUGCCAGAAUGGCAGUGCAGAAACAUUAAAAUUUUUUACAAAAAUAUGUUGAAUACUCUUUCAUUUCUCUCCUAGUAUUACAUUAUGCAAGAUGUGGACACCAAAUAUAUGGGGCUGUUCCAUAUGAGAUGUGCUGGCAUUACAAAAUGGACCAGGCUGCUUAGGUACCCCCAUUUCAAGUUUGUAUUCAAAUGUGGAUACAUGCUUUAUUUUGCCAUUCAGACACCUAUAAAUCUAAGAAUGUAGAAAGCUAUCCAAAAUUAUAUUGCAAUUUCUGCAUAAUGCUUGCCAGGCUAGCCUGCCUCCACUAGUGUAUGAAGGCAAGCUAACCUGGUUUACCAGGCCAGCCCAACUCUUAUGAACAGCUGUUAAUGUAGAAUGGGUUUCAUAUAAUAUAUUCCUUUUGUUCCUGGAGAUCUUAAUUUUUUAUAAACUUUUUUGCUUUAAAUUUCAUGCAAUAUUACAUAUAGUUCUAUAACCCACAGUACCAUGCAAACCAUGCAAUACAUAUCAAAAAAUAAUGUCACAGCUUUGUUAUACACAGUUAUUAAGCCACAAAUGGUCAAAGGUCUACGGAAAUUAUUGGGGGAGGGGGGGGGGGUAUUGCCCACCUGGCCCCCUAGUGUCCACCACUGAAUAUAUGCAUUUGAACUAUUGCAACAAAUCAGACUUGUUUUAGACUCGUACACUUGUGCUUAUUAAAAUACCAAUUGGGACUUGUUGAACGUUUGUUUAUAACAAUAUAAAGUACAGAACUAAGUACUGUAGUUCCUAUGCAAGAUAAAAUCAAUUUGUAGCCAAUGUUCAAAAGGUAUCUUUGAAUGUUAGUAAUAUUUGAAACAGUUCCAAGGUUCUUUCAGACAAAUCCAAUUGAAUAUUGGACUGUGCUGGAACCAUACUGACCACCUUCACUUCCUAUUCUGUGAUAGUGACUUUGCCACUUCUAUAAAAACAAAAAAUACAUUAAAUUCAAUCAAACUUGUACACGAAAAACAGCUAUAAACACAUGGAAGUGACCACGUGUGCAUAAAAAGCAGCUCUGCUCUGGAUGAAAACCCUCAAAAUGCUCAAAUCUAUAUAAUAUUACUGCAACAUCUGAACAAAAAAAAAGUAUUCACACUAGCUUUAAAGACCAAGACAACCCGAAAAAUAAAAAAAAUAUGAUAUGUACGAUAGUUGCAAAGAUUAACAACGAUUCACUAGUUUAAAACCUAUAAACAUAGUCUGUAUCAUGUACUGUAUAUAUAAAUAAUAAUGUUCGUCAACUCCAUAUUUAAUAGUAAUAUUUGUAGCUGAUAAAUACCUCGAUUAAAUGUUUUAUUUGACCAAUAAAUGAAUAAAUACAAACUACUUACCUUCCUCUUGGGUGUUUUGGUUUUAAAAUCUAAUUUUAUAAGCAAAUAUCCACAAAAUGUCAAUUUUAAAACAAAUCACAGCUCUCACUCCAUAUAUUUUAUAUCGAUUUCAGCUGCAAGUUACUGGCCAGAGUAAUGGCCGCCGUCGUAUUUCCGGCAUGCGCGACACGACAUGCGCGAGGACACCGAC
rnacentral:lncRNA from 1 species